rnacentral:tRNA from 1 species
GGCCUGAUGGUCUAGGGGUAUGAUUCACCCUUAGGGUGGGUGAGGUCCCGGGUUCGAAUCCCGGUUAGGCCC